rnacentral:tRNA from 1 species
GGGGAGAUACCAAAGUGGCCAACUGGGGCGGACUGUAACUCCGCUGACUACGUCUUCGUAGGUUCGAAUCCUACUCUCCCCACUA